rnacentral:lncRNA from 1 species
GAGUUUUUGGUUAAUGUAUACUUGUGGUCCAUUGAAAUUUAUUUAAUACUACUUCCUUAAUAUAACAAUUGUCUUCAAAUUCAGCUUUACAAACUAGUGUGUCUACAUGAAUAAGUAUACAAAUAUAUAUUAUAUACUAUAUACUCUCUCACGUGCUCUCUCUCUGUAUGUAUCUUAGUAAUUAUACUGGAUUUUUACUAAAUGUUUUAAUUUGGUGAUUUUAAUUUCUGGAAAAUAAAAAUUAAAGCAGUAAAUUUAAAUAGUAAAUUAGGAUUGCU